ACUCCUACGGGACGCAGCAGUGGGGAAUAUUGCACAAUGGGGGAAACCCUGAUGCAGCGACGCCGCGUGAGUGAAGAAGUAUUUCGGUAUGUAAAGCUCUAUCAGCAGGGAAGAUAAUGACGGUACCUAAAUAAGAAGCCCCGGCUAACUACGUGCCAGCAGCCGCGGUAAUACGUAGGGGGCAAGCGUUAUCCGGAAUUACUGGGUGUAAAGGGAGCGUAGGCGGCAUGGUAAGCCAGAUGUGAAAGCCCGCGGCUUAACCGCGCGGAUUGCAUUUGGAACUAUCAAGCUAGAGUACAGGAGAG
rnacentral:rRNA from 1 species